rnacentral:rRNA from 1 species
GAGUAACACGUAUCCAACCUCCCAUAACUCGAGGAUAGUACCUUCGAAAGAAAGUAUUAAUACCUGAUAGUACUUUUUCAAGGCAUCUUGAGAAAGUUAAAGAUUUAUUGGUUAUGGAUGGGGAUGCGUUCCAUUAGAUAGUUGGUGAGGUAACGGCUCACCAAGUCUUCGAUGGAUAGGGGUUCUGGGAGGAAGGUCCCCCACAUUGGUACUGAGACACGGACCAAACUCCUACGGGAGGCAGCAGUGAGGAAUAUUGGUCAAUGGACGAGAGUCUGAACCAGCCAAGUCGCGUGCAGGAAGAAUGUCCCUAUGGAUUGUAAACUGCUUUUGCAGGGGAAUAAAGUGCAUCACGUGUGAUGUUUUGUAUGUACUCUGCGAAUAAGGAUCGGCUAACUCCGUGCCAGCCGCGGC